rnacentral:rRNA from 1 species
AUUGAACGCUGGCGGCAGGCCUAACACAUGCAAGUCGAGCGGAUGAAGGGAGCUUGCUCCUGGAUUCAGCGGCGGACGGGUGAGUAAUGCCUAUGAAUCUGCCUGGUAGUGGGGGAUAACGUCCGGAAACGGGCGCUAAUACCGCAUACGUCCUGCGGGAGAAAGUGGGGGAUCUUCGGACCUCACGCUCUCAGCUUAGCCUAGGUCGGAUUAGCUAGUUGGUGGGGUAAAGGCCUACCAAGGCGACGAUCCGUAACUGGUCUGAGAGGAUGAUCAGUCACACUGGAACUGAGACACGGUCCAGACUCCUACGGGAGGCAGCAGUGGGGAAUAUUGGACAAUGGGCGAAAGCCUGAUCCAGCCAUGCCGCGUGUGUGAAGAAGGUCUUCGGAUUGUAAAGCACUUUAAGUUGGGAGGAAGGGAAGUAAGUUAAUACCUUGCUGUUUUGACGUUACCAACAGAAUAAGCACCGGCUAACUUCGUG